rnacentral:ncRNA from 1 species
AGUGAUGUAUUCAACGAGUUUAUAGCCUUGGCGAACAGGCCCGGGUAAUCUCUGAAAUUUCAUCGUGAUGGGGAUAGAUCAUUGCAAUUCUUGGUCUUCAAU